UACGGUGAAUACGUUCCCGGACCUUGUACACACCGCCCGUCAAGCCAUGGAAGCUGGGUGUACCUAAAGUCGAUAACCGUAAGGAGCCGCCUAGGGUAAAACUACGUAACUCGGGGCUA
rnacentral:rRNA from 1 species